ACACAAAGCUCAAGUUGGUAGAGCAUGAGACUUUUAAUCUCAGCGUCAAGGGUUCCAGACCCAUGUUGGGCA